AUGAAGCAAGAUAUUGUAGAAUAAAUCGUUUUUGUCUAUGGUACAAUAGGUACAACUAGGUACAACUCUAGUAAAAUGGAAAGUAGUAAAACUGGCAGAUAUUGUUCAUCUGAAACAUACCACUAGUAAACCUGGUAAAACUUGGAGUAACACAUUGAAUAGAUAGUAUUGGUACCACUCGUAUAACUUAUAGUAUCAUGUGCAAAGUUGACAUAGUAUAACUGGUCUUACUAGUAUAACUGAUAACUAUUGUUACAUGUAAACUAGUCUAAUUGAUAAUAUUAGUAUAACUGAACUAACUAAUAAAUGAUAAUGUUGGUUUUU
rnacentral:lncRNA from 1 species